UCCGACUUCACGCCGGCAGUCUCGCUAGAGUUCCCGGCAUUACCCGCUGGCAACUAGCGAUAAGGGUUUCGCUCGUUAAGGGACUUAACCCGACACUUCACAGCACGAGCUGACGACAGCCAUGCAGCACCUGUGCACGUUUCACCCGAAGGCAGCUUACUCGGCUUUCACCAAGAGCAUCCGUACAUGUCAAACCCAGGUAAGGUUCUGCGCGUUGCUUCGAAUUAAUCCACAUGCUCCACCGCUUGUGUGAGCCCCCGUCAAUUCUUUUGAGUUUUAGCCUUGCGGCCGUACUCCCCAGGCGGCGCACUUACCACUUUCGCUUCGGCACGAUCGGCGUCAGAGCCCCUCGUACCUAGUGCGCAUCGUUUACGGCGUGGACUAC
rnacentral:misc_RNA from 1 species